rnacentral:lncRNA from 1 species
UGGUUUGAUGUAAUUCAAUCUUAACUGGUAGACCAGAUUUCCCUAAACAAUCUUGCCUCCCGUUAGCCUGUUUUGUUUUUUACCUCAUUUAUUUUAUUAAAGCAUUUUAAAUGGACUUUUCUUUGCCUUUCUACUUAGGGUAUUCUGAUAGAAAAGAGAAGAUACAAAAUUCAAGCCUCAUCACUUUGGCCAACCUUUCUCCUUCAGGGUAGGCAAAUACAGCAGCAGAGGGGAUGCACCCAGAGG